rnacentral:rRNA from 1 species
UGCGUAGGCGGACUCAUAAGUCAGUGGUGAAAUCUUGCAGCUUAACUGUAAAACUGCCAUUGAUACUGUUAGUCUUGAAUUUAGUUGAGGUAGGCGGAAUGUAUUGUGUAGCGGUGAAAUGCAUAGAUAUAAUACAGAACACCGAUUGCGAAGGCAGCUUACUAAGCUAUGAUUGACGCUGAGGUACGAAAGCGUGGGGAGCGAACAGGAUUAGAUACCCUGGUAGUCC